GUAGGUCAUCGGGGCCUCCUGGUCGCUUCCCUGAGUUCGACCAAUCCUGUGCGAGGGCGCCGUGGGCGGGGCAGGCUCGGCGGGAGAGCUGCGUGAGAAAUGUCCCGAGGUAGAAUGAGAGCCUUUCCUCUGCGGCCGAGCGCUGGUGGCGAGAGGGGCAUUCCGUGUUUGGGCUGAAGGCUGCGCUCCCUUCCUGGGGGUGGGUAAGAAGCACAGUGGAACUAGGAGCAGAGCCGGCCUUCGGAUGAAGCUGGAUGCUGAGGACCUGGCAGCCGGGAAUGAACAGAACUUGUAUCUGUGACCACGCCUUUGAGCCGAUAAUCCUGGUACACCAGGACCCACCCUACCUCUGCACUUACAGUAAUAGGAGGAGCGCCGUGCAGCUGGGCCCACUGGUCACUGGAAGGCUCCGGAAGCCAUGAAGCCACUGGGAAGCCACUGAUGCCGUGACCUUCUGCUCCUGGCGCUGGAGUGCAGGCCGCGCCUCUGCUCAGA